rnacentral:rRNA from 1 species
UACAGAGGGUGCAAACGUUGUUCGGAAUUACUGGGCGUAAAGCGUGUGUAGGCGGCUUUGCAAGUCGGGUGUGAAAGCCCUCAGCUCAACUGAGGAAGUGCGCCCGAAACUGCAGAGCUUGAGUACCGGAGAGGAUGGUGGAAUUCCCCAAGUAGAGGUGAAAUUCGUAGAUAUGGGGAGGAACACCGGUGGCGAAGGCGACCAUCUGGACGGAUACUGACGCUGAGACGCGAAAGCGUGGGGAGCAAACAGG